rnacentral:rRNA from 1 species
AUUGAACGCUGGCGGCAUGCCUUACACAUGCAAGUCGAACGGCAGCACGGGAGCAAUCCUGGUGGCGAGUGGCGAACGGGCGAGUAAUAUAUCGGAACGUGCACAGUCGUGGGGGAUAACGUAGCGAAAGCUACGCUAAUACCGCAUACGAUCUAUGGAUGAAAGCGGGGGAUCGCAACACCUCGCGCGAUUGGAGCGGCCGAUAUCAGAUUAGGUAGUUGGUGAGGUAAAGGCUCACCAAGCCGACGAUCUGGAGCUGGUCUGAGAGGACGACCAGCCACACUGGGACUGAGACACGGCCCAGACUCCUACGGGAGGCAGCAGUGGGGAAUUUUGGACAAUGGGCGCAAGCCUGAUCCAGCAAUGCCGCGUGCAGGAUGAAGGCCUUCGGGUUGUAAACUGCUUUUGUACGGAGCGAAAAGGCUUCCACUAAUACUGGGGGCUCAUGACGGUACCGUAAGAAUAAGCACCGGCUAACUACGUGCCAGCCGCCGCGGUAAUAC